UACGAAGGGGGCUAGCGUUGCUCGGAAUCACUGGGCGUAAAGCGCACGUAGGCGGGUCUUUAAGUCAGGGGUGAAAUCCUGGAGCUCAACUCCAGAACUGCCUUUGAUACUGGAGGACUCGAGUCCGGGAGAGGUGAGUGGAACUCGAGUGUAGAGGUGAAAUUCGUAGAUAUUCGCAAGAACACCAGUGGCGAAGGCGGCUCACUGGCCCGGUACUGACGCUGAGGUGCGAAAGCGUGGGGAGCAAACAGG
rnacentral:rRNA from 1 species